GAUUUUCUAAUUUGGAUGUCCAUUUUGUGCUCAUUUGUUGGUCAUUGCAUUACAUGGAUCAUUUGAUGCCUUUGCUUUUUGAAUUGAUACUGGUCCUUUUGAGGACAUUUUGUGAUAUGUUUGAACUUUCUUUAUGCAAAAGAUUGACUUCUGUUUUGAUCAUUUGGUUUGGUUUUGGACCUAGUCUUUGUACUAGUGUUUUG
rnacentral:lncRNA from 1 species